rnacentral:rRNA from 1 species
UACGUAGGGUGCGAGCGUUAAUCGGAAUUACUGGGCGUAAAGCGUGCGCAGGCGGUUUUGCAAGCCGGAUGUGAAAUCCCCGGGCUUAACCUGGGAAUGGCAUUUGGGACUGCAAGGCUGGAGUGCGGCAGAGGAGACUGGAAUUCCUGGUGUAGCAGUGGAAAUGCGUAGAUAUACAGGAGGAACACCGAUGGCGAAGGCAGGUCUCUGGGCUGACACUGACGCUCAUGCACGAAAGCGUGGGGAGCAAACAGG